rnacentral:misc_RNA from 1 species
GAAAUGCGAUAAGUAAUGUGAAUUGCAGAAUUCAGUGAAUCACCGAAUCUUUGAACGCACAUUGCGCCCGCCAGUAUUCUGGCGGUCAUGCCUGUCCGAGCGUCAUUUCAACCAUCAAGCCCCCGGGCUUGUGUUGGGGACCUGCGGCUGCCCGCAGGCCCUGAAAACCAGUGGCGGGCUCGCUGUCACACCGAGCGUAGUAGCAAUCACCUCGCUCAGGGCGUGCUGCGGGUUCCGGCCGUUAAACAGCCUUACAAAACCCAAGGUUGACCUCGGAUCAGGUAGGAAGACCCGCUGAACUUAAGC